rnacentral:rRNA from 1 species
GUAGGGUCCGAGCGUUAUCCGGAAUCAUUGGGGCGUAAAGAGCUCGUAGGCGGUUCAGCAAGUCGGCUGUGAAAGUUCGAGGCUCAACCUCGAAAUUGCAGUCGAUACUGCUGUGACUUGAAUUCGGUAGAGGAGAAUGGAAUUCCCGGUGUAGCGGUGAAAUGCGCAGAUAUCGGGAGGAACACCAGUAGCGAAGGCGGUUCUCUGGGCCGAUAUUGACGCUGAGGAGCGAAAGCGUGGGGAGCAAACAGGAUUAGAUACCCUGGUAGUCCACGCCGUAAACGUUGGAUGCUAGGUGUGGCGGUCUACCAACGACUGCCGUGCCGAAGCUAACGCAUUAAGCAUCCCGCCUGGGGAGUACGGCCGCAAAGGCUAA